rnacentral:lncRNA from 1 species
GAUCCUUUAUUUCCCUUCAUUUUGUUCCGGUGGUUAGAGCAUCCUGACAUUUACAUUCAUUAGGUAUUUAUCCUUAAAUUUAACAUUGAAAACAACUCACUAAUACCACUACAUGGAACCAGUAGGUGUUUUCGAAAUAUUCACAACAAUUUUUGAAGUAUUCACAUCCAUGUUUGAAGUAUUUAGAAGUUAUUUUCGAGGCAAUCAAAAUAUCCAAGAAAUCAAAGAGAACUAAGUCUAAGAAAUCAACCACACAUAUUACAGAAAAGAACCACCAGGUCCAAGAUAUCGGAAUAACCUAGGGUUACCUGACAUAAUCGACUAUGGAGUGGCGGAGACGAUACUGCCGACGAUGGGAGUGGCAUAGCUUCUUCAUGGGUUUCGAGCGACCGAUUUAGGGUUACAAUCAAGGGCACAUCAGCUAAGGAUUAUUCCCGUCGCUAAUCCCUAGCUAAUCCAUCGGUGAUCCGUCCCAAAAAUCCAAAUUCCUUCAUUUAUCACUUAAUUUGAUUUCCGUCGUUGAUCCCUAUGAAAUCCGUCGCUAAUGUAGCUAGGGAUGCCGUCCGUCGCUG